AUAUAACUAGGCGGAGGAAAAGAAACUAACCAGGAUUCCCUUAGUAACGGCGAGUGAAGCGGGAAAAGCUCAGAGUGAAAAGCUUCGGCAUUGUGCUCUGGAGAAGUCUAAUCAGCUCAAUUCGUGGGGCAAAUCUCUUGGAAUAGAGUGCCAUGGAGGGUGAUAGCCCCGUUUAUCCCUGCGAUGUCGAGUGUACGGUAGAUUUUCAACGAGUCGAGUUGUUUGGGAUUGCAGCUCUAAGUGGGUGGUAAAUUCCAUCUAAAGCUAAAUAUUGGUGGGAGACCGAUAGCGCACAAGUA
rnacentral:rRNA from 1 species